GCCAACCUUGAGGGACCACUCACCCC
rnacentral:piRNA from 1 species